rnacentral:misc_RNA from 1 species
GCAAGAGGUCGAAAGUUGGCCCCCGAAAGUCUUCCGUCUCCCCCCCGGGGCCUCCCGGGGAGGUUGCGGGCGGCGAGGGGUGCCUCCGGCCGCACGCCCAUUCUUGUCUACUGACCCGGUUGCCUCGGCGGGCCGCGCUGCUGUGCUACAGCGGCCGUUCGGGGGGGACGCCUGAGGGGGACUCUUGUUUCUAGGCCACGCCCCGGGCAGCGCUCGCCGGAGGAUUACUCUGGAAAACACACUCUUGAAAGAACAUACCGUCUGAGCGAGCAACGCAAAUCAGUUAAAACUUUCAACAACGGAUCUCUUGGUUCCGGCAUCGAUGAAGAACGCAGCGAAAUGCGAUAAGUAAUGUGAAUUGCAGAAUUCCGUGAAUCAUCGAAUCUUUGAACGCACAUUGCGCCCCCUGGCAUUCCGGGGGGCAUGCCUGUUCGAGCGUCAUUUCAACCCCUCAAGCCCGGCUUGUGUGAUGGACGACCGUCCCCCCUCCCCAGUAACCACCCACCGCUUAGGGGGGUGGGAGGGAGGGGGACGCGCCCGAAAAGCAGUGGUCAGGCCGCGAUUCCGGCUCCUGGGCGAAUGGGACAUACCACCGCCUCCAGGACCGGCCGGCAGGCGGCCUAACGCACCAUGUAUU